GCCGCUCUGGUGGAAUCAGCAGACACGCCAGGCUCAAACCCUGGUGCCCAAACGGGCAUGAGGGUGCAAGUCCCUCGGGCGGCA
rnacentral:tRNA from 1 species